GACGAACGCUGGCGGCGUGCUUAACACAUGCAAGUCGAACGGAAAGGCCCUGCUUUUGUGGGGUGCUCGAGUGGUGAACGGGUGAGUAACACGUGAGUAACCUGCCCUUGACUUUGGGAUAACAUCAGGAAACUGGGGCUAAUACCGGAUAGGAGCUCCUGCGGCAUGGGGGGGGGUGGAAAGUUUCGGCGGUUGGGGAUGGACAGGAGGGUAAUCCGUCUGUUGGUGGGGUAGUGGCUUACAAAGGCUUUGACGGAUAGCCGGACUGGGAGGGUGACCGGCCACAUGGGGACUGAGGUACGGCCCAGACGCCUACGUGAGGCAGCAGUGGGGAAUAUUGCACAAUGGGCGGAAGCCUGAUGCAGCGACGCCGCGUGCGGGAUGACGGCCUUCGAGUUGUAAACCGCUUUCGGCUAUGACGAAGCGUGAGUGACGGUAAUGAAUAAAGAAGCACCGGCUAACUACGUG
rnacentral:rRNA from 1 species